CCUACGGGAGGCAGCAGUGGGGAAUAUUGCACAAUGGGGGAAACCCUGAUGCAGCGACGCCGCGUGAGUGAAGAAGUAUUUCGGUAUGUAAAGCUCUAUCAGCAGGAACGAGACAAGACGGUACCUGACUAAGAAGCCCCGGCUAACUACGUGCCAGCAGCCGCGGGAAUACGUAGGGGGCAAGCGUUAUCCGGAAUCACUGGGUGUAAAGGGAGCGUAGACGGCUGUGCAAGCCUGAAGUGAAAGGCGGGGGCCCAACCCCUGGACUGCUUUGGGAACUGUACGGCUGGAGUGCAGGAGAGGUAAGUGGAAUUCCUAGUGUAGCGGUGAAAUGCGUAGAUAUUAGGAGGAACACCAGUGGCGAAGGCGGCUUACUGGACUGUAACUGACGUUGAGGCUCGAAAGCGUGGGGAGCAAACAGGAUUAGAUACCCCGGUAGUC
rnacentral:rRNA from 1 species